UACGGGGGGAGCAAGCGUUGUUCGGAUUUACUGGGCGUAAAGGGCGCGUAGGCGGCCAGCACAGGUCAGUUGUGAAAUCUCCGGGCUUAACUCGGAAAGGUCAACUGAUACUGUGCGGCUAGAGUGCAGAAGGGGCAACUGGAAUUCUCGGUGUAGCGGUGAAAUGCGUAGAUAUCGAGAGGAACACCUGCGGCGAAGGCGGGUUGCUGGGCUGACACUGACGCUGAGGAGCGAAAGCGUGGGGAGCGAACAGG
rnacentral:rRNA from 1 species